CACAAUUACCGACUCAAAAGAGUCACUUCACCUUCCCUCAAUCUUCUUCUUUUCUUAGACCUUAUAUUAAAGUGUGUAAUAUACACUAAAGUCUAAUGAAAAAAAAGAAUUAUAAAAUCAAUUUUGAACAAUUCGACAUACCUUUCGAAGAUAUGUAAAUAUUUCUUUUAGGUUCUCUAGGUAUGUACCUCUGAACUUUUCAAGAUCCCUUAGUUACCA
rnacentral:lncRNA from 1 species